UGGCGUUAUUGAAUUGAUAAAAACAUUUGUUUUGGUUCUUGUGAGGUUGUUAAUAUUGGUUUGUCCUCUGAUAUAUGUUGACUUGGCAUCCCAGAACAUAUUGGGAGAAUAACGAUUUAAAUUUCUUAAUAGUUAAAGAAAAUACAUUACAUUUUGGUGAAAUUUACUUUAAUUUAACCACAGAAUCAGACUUCAAUUUGGUCAGUGCUGCUGAAAUUAUAACAUUUUGAAUAUUUGUUAGUUUGCUAUCAUUCUACUUGUUUCUUAAGAGUUCGUCUGUCAAGCUGCAUCCAGAAUUCAAAUCGCUUUGGUCAAACAUCAAACUAUUGUUUCUACAACAUCGCAGAAAUUCUUCUGUGGGAAAAAAUAAUCAUUGUUCCUUCUUUUUCACAGGAGUUGGAGAAAGAAAUUUCUCAAAGUCCUGACUGUACUCAUUCAACUUCUACAACUGACAACACAGAACAGGUGAGAGCUGAAAAUGACCCGGAUCAGAUGACAACCAGUGUCCCAAACGAGACAGAUUCAGUCCUGGAUUCACUUCCCAACAAUUCAGAGUGUCAAAAACAUCACCUGAUGUGCACAUUAUCUUCUUUGGAGAAGUGUAUUCAGUGUUUUGGUCCUUGUUCUUCAUUCAAGUGGGUUGGCUACCAGUGUAAAGGCAAGAUAUUUAGUUAAUUUGUAUU